ensembl:lncRNA
AUUUCUUAAGAUCUCUAUAUUCCCUAUACUCAAAUUGUAUAGGCUGUGAUUUGCAUAAACAUUCUGAAAUACAGAGUCUACCAGCCUUAAUAAGGGGGAAAGAAAUCAUUUCUCAAUCUUUCUCUCUCUCUCUCUCUCACACACACACACACACACACAUGCACAAGCAUGUGCACAGCUGUUUAGAGUAUGCUGUCAGGCUCCUCUUCUACUCCUGUCAUCCAGAAAUAGCAGAGGAACCUUGGGUACCCUGACAGUUCUCUAAGAGGCAUGCUCAAGAGUUGAACUUGGCUGCCACACACAGUGAUUCAGCAAUUUACCAGGAGAAAAUACGACAGGGAGAGGAAGGAGAAUUUCUCAUCUGGGUUUGGGUAAGAAACAUUUUUCAUCAUGCACAAACCAAGAGAUAUCUAGAAUUGUUAAUUUGUUCUUUAUUCUAAAGCUACUAAUGUGUGCAACUGGCUGAUUUCAGACCAAAACCACUAUUUGCUUUAAUCGAGCAUUUAGAAUGUGGAAACUGGUUCUAUAGCUCAUACCAAAAAUAAAAUAAAAUUUAAAUUAAAUGAAAUGGUGAUUACAGAAAUGUAUCUAUAUUGCAUAGCUAAAGGCAUGGGAUUUUUUUUUUUUGGUUAUGAUACAUGUGUUCUAUUUAAAUCUAAAUAGACAUCUGGGAGACAGAUCGAUAAUUCUGUUAAUCCUAUUUUACAGAAGCAGAAGAGGAGGCAACAGAACACUAAAGGAAUGUUCCUCAAGCCAUGUUGCAGAAGCUGCAACUCUUGAAACUUACCUGCUACCCUUCUGGCCCAGAGCCAGUUCAUCACUAAAUCUACACUGUGUUGUGUUUCUCUGUACUCCAGCCAGCCUCCUAUUUCAGACUUUGACACAAAUGACAGAGUGCUGAUAGUGAAGCCACAAAAUGUUAAGAUGAGGUCACUUGGAAAGGGGCGGAGGAAGAAAGUACAGGAUUUCUUGGUUAAGUAAGCAGAGACUCAGUUGCUGAAGAACCAAUAGGAAGAUUCCUUGCAGCCACUAUAUGACAAGCCACCGUCUUCACAAUCGCUAAAAUGACUUCUAGUCAUUUUAGAAGGACCACUUUUUGUCUUCUGGUAGGUAGGCAGUUGGGGAAUCUGCUUUACUGUUCACUCACUUAUUUCUUUAUCCAUCUGUCCCCAUACUAAUUAAUUCAAACAGACAUUUAAGAGCAAUUUUCACAGAGAACUUUACCCAGUGUUCUGUGAUAAUCUACAUGCGAAAAGAAUCUGAAAAAGAAUGGGUGUGUGUAUAACUGAAUCACUUUGUUGUAUAGCAGAAAUUAUCAGAACAUUGUAAAUCAACUAUACUUCAAUAAAACUUUUCU